rnacentral:rRNA from 1 species
CAAUAGCGUAUAUUAAAGUUGUUGCAGUUAAAAAGCUCGUAGUUGGAUUUCGGAGCGAAACGCAUGGUCGACCUAACGGUUUGUACCAGGCGGCUCGUUCUUCCUUCUGUGAUUGCGCGUGUGGCAUUGAUUUGUUGUGCGUGUGAUGCAGGACGUUUACUCUGAAUAAAUUAGAGUGUUUAAAGCAGGCCUUUGCUUGAAUACAUUAGCAUGGAAUAAUAGAAUAGGACUUUGGUCUUAUUUUGUUGGUUUCUAGGACCGAAGUAAUGAUUAAUAGGGACAGUUGGGGGCAUUAAUAUUUAAUUGUCAGAGGUGAAAUUCUUGGAUUUAUGAAAGAUUAACUUCUGCGAAAGCAUUUGCCAAGGAUGUUUNCAUUAA